AAUUCGGCUUACGGGUCGCAGCAGGCGCGAAAACUUUACAAUGCGGGAAACCGUGAUAAGGGGACACCGAGUGCCAGCAUCAUAUGCUGGCUGUCCGGGUGUGUAAAAUACACCCGUUAGCAAGGGCCGGGCAAGACCGGUGCCAGCCGCCGCGGUAACACCGGCGGCCCGAGUGGUGAUCGUGAUUAUUGGGUCUAAAGGGUCCGUAGCCGGUUUGGUCAGUCCUCCGGGAAAUCUGAUGGCUCAACCAUUAGGCUUUCGGGGGAUACUGCCAGGCUUGGAACCGGGAGAGGUAAGAGGUACUACAGGGGUAGGAGUGAAAUCUUGUAAUCCCUGUGGGACCACCUGUAGCGAAGGCGUCUUACCAGAACGGGUUCGACGGUGAGGGACGAAAGCUGGGGGCACGAACCGGAUUAGAUACCCGGGUAGUCCCAGCCGUAAACGAUGCUCGCUAGGUGUCAGGCAUGGCGCGACCGUGUCUGGUGCCGCAGGGAAGCCGUGAAGCGAGCCACCUGGGAAGUACGGCCGCAAGGCUGAAACUUAAAGGAAUUGGCGGGGGAGCACAA
rnacentral:rRNA from 1 species